AGAGUUUGAUCAUGGCUCAGAGCGAACGCUGGCGGCGUGCUUAACACAUGCAAGUCGAGCGAGAAAGGGAGCUUCGGUUCCUGAGUAAAGCGGCGAACGGGUGCGUAACACGUGGGUGAUCUGUCCUUGAGAUGGGGAUAACUCAGCGAAAGCUGGGCUAAUACCCAAUAAGACCACAGAAAGCAAUUUCCGGGGUCAAAGGGUGCUUUUUUUAGGAGCAUCCGUUUGAGGAGGAGCCCGCGACCUAUCAGCUAGUUGGUAGGGUAAUAGCCUACCAAGGCAAAGACGGGUAGCUGGUCUGAGAGGAUGACCAGCCACACGGGGACUGAGACACGGCCCCGACUCCUACGGGAGGCAGCAGUGGGGAAUAUUGGGCAAUGGGGGAAACCCUGACCCAGCGACGCCGCGUGGGCGAUGAAGGCCUUCGGGUCGUAAAGCCUUGUCAGGAGGAACGAAUGUUUUUAGAGUAAAUAGCUCUAAAAAGUGACGGUACCUCUGAAGGAAGCACCGGCCAACUCCGUGCCAGCAGCCGCGGUAAGACGGAGGGUGCAAGCGUUGCUCGGAAUCAUUGGGCGUAAAGGGUGCGUAGGCGGCUUUUUAAGUCUGACGUGAAAGCCCAGGGCUUAGCCUUGGAAGUGCGCCAGAAACUGGAAGGCUAGAGUGCCGGAGGGGAGAGUGGAAUUCCUGGUGUAGCGGUGAAAUGCGUAGAUAUCAGGAGGAAUACCGGUGGCGAAAGCGACUCUCUGGACGGUAACUGACGCUGAGGCACGAAAGCGUGGGGAGCAAACAGGAUUAGAUACCCUAGUAGUCC
rnacentral:rRNA from 1 species